UACGUAGGGUGCAAGCGUUAAUCGGAAUUACUGGGCGUAAAGCGUGCGCAGGCGGUUUUGUAAGUCUGUCGUGAAAGCCCCGGGCUCAACCUGGGAAUUGCGAUGGAGACUGCAAGGCUUGAAUCUGGCAGAGGGGGGUAGAAUUCCACGUAUAGCAGUGAAAUGCGUAGAGAUGUGGAGGAACACCGAUGGCGAAGGCAGCCCCCUGGGUCAAGAUUGACGCUCAUGCACGAAAGCGUGGGGAGCAAACAGG
rnacentral:rRNA from 1 species